rnacentral:rRNA from 1 species
UGGGGAAUUUUGGACAAUGGGCGAAAGCCUGAUCCAGCAAUGCCGCGUGUGUGAAGAAGGCCUUCGGGUUGUAAAGCACUUUUGUCCGGAAAGAAAACGCCGUGGUUAAUACCCGUGGCGGAUGACGGUACCGGAAGAAUAAGCACCGGCUAACUACGUGCCAGCAGCCGCGGUAAUACGUAGGGUGCAAGCGUUAAUCGGAAUUACUGGGCGUAAAGCGUGCGCAGGCGGUCCGCUAAGACAGAUGUGAAAUCCCCGGGCUUAACCUGGGAACUACAUUUGUGACUGGCGGGCUAGAGUAUGGCAGAGGGGGGUAGAAUUCCACGUGUAGCAGUGAAAUGCGUAGAGAUGUGGAGGAAUACCGAUGGCGAAGGCGGCCCCCUGGGCCAAUACUGACGCUCAUGCACGAAAGCGUGGGGAGCAAACAGG